UUUAUGGAGAGUUUGAUCCUGGCUCAGGAUGAACGCUGGCGGCGUGCCUAAUACAUGCAAGUCGAGCGAACAGAC
rnacentral:rRNA from 2 species